AUUGAACGCUGGCGGCAGGCCUAACACAUGCAAGUCGAGCGGAUGAAGGGAGCUUGCUCCUGGAUUCAGCGGCGGACGGGUGAGUAAUGCCUAGGAAUCUGCCUGGUAGUGGGGGAUAACGUCCUGAAACGGGCGCUCAUACCGCAUACGUCCUGAGGGAGAAAGUGGUGGAUCUUCGGACCUCGCGCUAUCAGAUGAUCCUCGGUCGGAUUAGCUAGUUGGUGGGGUCAGGGCCUUCCCAGGCGACGAUCCGUAACUGGUAUGAAAGGAUGAUCAGUCAGACUGGAACUGAGACACGGUCCAGACUCCGACGGGAGGCAGCAGUGGGGAAUAUUGGACGAUGGGCGAAAGCCUGAUACAGCCAAGCCGCGUGUGUGAAGAAGGUCUGCGGAUUGGAAAGCACAUUAAGUUGGGAGGAAGGGCAGUAAGUUAAGAACGUGCUGUGUUGACGGUACCAACAGAAGAAGCACCGGCUAACUUCGUG
rnacentral:rRNA from 1 species